GCCCCUAUAGUUUAUCUGGUAAAACAGCGGAUUUGUAACCCGCAGUGCUUUGUUCGAGUCGAGGUGGGGGCACCA
rnacentral:tRNA from 1 species